CUGCUGGGGCCCCUGCAGGGGACUUCUGAGUCUUCAGCAGUGGACCCUAAACAUUCUUAGGUGUCUUCACCUUAGUCAAGACCACAGCCCCUCAUCUCCCUCUAGAUUCAUCAGCCCUGAAGAAUGCUCAUCAGAACUGAUGGAAAACCCAGUGCUGAUGCUAACUCACUGACGGCUACCAUAAAUACAGGAUGCCAGGGCUUUCCUGGUCAAGACCCUGUGCUUCCACUUCAGGGGGUGCAGGUUCAAUUCCUGGCCAGGGAAGUCACGCAUGCCAAGCGGUGUGGUGAAAAAAACUACAGGAUGUCAGACACUUCUAAGAUGAAGCACCACUGAUCUGCAGGCACGGUGGCAAGUGUCACACGAUUCAAGAGAAUGGAGUCCAUGUAUCACCUAUAGGACCUCAGCACUCAGACUUCAGGAACCAGUGAAAUCUUAAGACCAGCAGAGGGAUCUGCAUUGACCUCAUUCAAAACUGUUUCGGCCAAAAUGUUAGGAAAAAAAAAAAACACCACCUCAUUCUUCUCAUGGCUGAGUAGCAUUCCAGUGUAUAUACAAAUCUUCCUUACCCAUUUAUUUGUUCAUGGGCAUUUAGGUUGCUUCCAUACUUUGGCUAUUAUAAAUAAUGCUGUUCUGAACAACAUUGGAAUACACGAAUCUCUUUGAAUUUUCAUCUUUUCCUGGUAUAUGUCCAGGAGUAGGGCUGCUGAAACAUACGGUAGUGUUGCUUUUACUUUUCUGAGAAAGCUCCGUACUGUUCUCCAGUGACAGCAUCAAUUUACAUUCCCACCAACAGUGUACAAGAGUCCCCUUUUCUCAUCCUUGAAAACAUUUGUUGCGUUCUUGAUGAUCGACAUUCUGAUAGGUGUGAAGUAAUAUCUCAUUGCGGUUUUGAUUUGCAUUUUCCUGGUAAUUUACAAUGUCGAGCACCUUUUCAUGUGUCAGCUGGCUAUCUGCAUGUCCUCCUUGGAAAAAUGUCUACCCAUCUUCCAUUCAUUUGUAAUUGGGUUUUUUGAUAUGAUGUGUAGAGGAUGCUAGUGUGUUUUGGAUAUUAACCCCUUAUCAGUCAUAUCAUUUACAAAUAUUUUCUCUCAUUCAGUAGGUUGUGUUUUCAUUUUGUCUAUGUUUUCCUCUGCUGUGCAAAAGCUUUUAAGUUUAAUUAGG
ensembl:lncRNA